UACAGAGGUCCCGAGCGUUGUUCGGAUUCACUGGGCGUAAAGGGUGCGUAGGUGGCGAGGUAAGUCGGAUGUGAAAUCUCCAAGCUUAACUUGGAAAUGGCAUUGGAAACUACCUGGCUAGAGGUUUGGAGGGGGGACUGGAAUUCCCGGUGUAGCGGUGAAAUGCGCAGAUAUCGGGAAGAACACCCGUGGCGAAGGCGGUUCUCUGGGACGGUACUGACGCUGAGACGCGAAAGCGUGGGGAGCGAACAGG
rnacentral:rRNA from 1 species